rnacentral:rRNA from 1 species
GUAAGAAUGAUUGAGUACGGUGAGUGUAGAGAUAAAAUUCUGUCAUACCACUUAGGAACUGGUAAAAGCGAAGGCAACUUUCUAUGUAAAAACUGACGUUAAGGGACGAAGGCUCGUAUCAAAUAACAGGAUUAGAUACCCCAGCAUUGUGGGCAGACAAUGAUGAGUGUCAUAUGCAAGAGAUAAAUAUAUAAAAAAAUAUUUUGUGUAUAAAUGAAAGUGUAAGCACUCCACCUCAAGAGUAACGUGGCAACAUGGGAACUGAAAUCAUUAGACCGUUUCUGAAACUCGUAGUGAAGUAUGUUGUUUAAUUAGAUGGUGCACAAAUAACCUUACCACAAUUUGUAUAACUAUAGUACAUAAUAAUAAUAUAGUUACAAGCGUUGCACGGCUGUCUUUAGUCUAUGUUGUGAAACUGUGGUUAGAUCCAUUAAAUAGACGUAAACCCUUACUUUAUUUAUUAUAAAGUAGUUCGCCGCUAUAUUGGUAGUGAUAUAAGGGACUA